CGUACCCCGGUACCGCCGUACCCCGAGCGCCCACCGGCGGCUCAAGGCAGGGGUCGAGCCGCCCCCAGCCCCGUUUGGGACGGGACUGAAGGAGGGGGGUGAUUGGGGCUGCGCUCCCCAAAACUUUCCCAUCCCGCCGCAGCAUCCCUAUGGAGGGGUGGGACGGGAAGGUGGUGAUGGGGCCACGCAGGGAAUCCGUCGCUUUAAUCCUCCCGAGUCUGGCUGCGGUCCCGGCCGGAGUUCGUUGCCGAACCGCUCCUCGCCUUCGCCCCGACGGGGCAAGGAGCCCUCCGGUCCCGUCCGCUUGGCUUAGGGCAGAGGCAAUGCCCGGCGGCUGCCGGUGGAGCGGAGGGGACGUUGUUUGCGUGCGUGCGGACCCGGGGGAUGCUGCGAUGGGGACGGAUCCAGACACGCUCCCCAGCCUGGAGAUGGGGUCGGUGCGGAGAGCACGGACUGGGAUCUGUGUGUGUGUGAUGGGAAGGUGGCAGCGCUCGCUGCGCUGUGCUUGGGGUUUUCCUGUUGUCCCAAUGGAGCGUGGAGCAUUCCCAGCCCUGUGGGGGCCGAGGCAGCGCAGGGAGAGGCUCUUUGAUGGGGUCGGGAAAGCGCCCGGUUUUGGCCCCCCCUCCAGCCCUUCUCCCUUCAGCGCUGCCGCUUUGGCUCUGGACCCGAGUGCCUCCUGCAUCCGCUCCUCUGGGAUGGCUCCGUCCCGAGCAUCCCUCCCCGCAGGGACCGGUUGUGCCAUCAGCCCUAUCCCUCCUCCAGAGGGUCCCAUCAGCUCACCCUGGGGAUGCCAACGUCCCCUCUGCUCCCUGCCCGUGUGGCUUCGGACCUCUCCAACCCAUUUUAGGGGCUGGGCUGUGGAUUUCCCACCUCAAUCCCGCAUCCAGAUGGCUGCUCCCGGCCUCCAGGCUGGGAUGGGUCCAAGCCACCCCAGAUGCUGCGCAGGGAGAGGAGCCCUUUAUAAACCACAUCAAACCAGAAGCUCGGAGCAUCCGCUUAAAGCACGAGGGAAAAGGGGAACCUCCUCGUCCGUUCACCUGACGGCUGCCAAGGGCUGGUCUGUGAAGCCAAGAGGAAAAGCAGAGCCAAGGGGAUGAGAAGGGAAAACCUGGAGCAGGGAACAGACCCCAGCAAUAACAGGGAGCUCCUCAUGAAGAACAAGGGGUGAGGCUGAGCCCUUCACUGGUGCCUGGUGGUUAAUGUGCUGGGGAUGGAGCCGUGUUUGCCCAUCACAAGUUGGGUGUGCUGCUCGCUGCAUGCCAUGCGCUGGAGAACACCACAGCAGACCGGAGUGCUCCUGGCCCACCAGUGGCAGCAGCAGUGAGGUCCCACUUCAACGACUGUCCCG